rnacentral:rRNA from 1 species
AACGAACGCUGGCGGCAUGCCUAACACAUGCAAGUCGAGCGGGACUUCCGGUUGUGUCAGCGCCCGACGGGGGAGUGCGGCGGGAGAUGCUCCCCUGUGCUGCGUAAUAACCCGAAGGAGCUGCUAAUAAUACCGAAUAUCCCCGUUCCAAAGAUUUAUGGCUGCUGGAUGGGCCCGCCUCGGAUUAGCUAGUUGGUAGGGUGAUAGCUCACCAAGGCGACGAUCAUUAGCUGGUCUGAGAGGAUGAUCAGCCACACUGGGACUGAGACACGGCCCAGACUCCUACGGGAGGCAGCAGUGGGGAAUAUUGGACAAUGGGGGAAAGCCUGAUCCAGCCAUGCCGCGUGAGUGAUGAAGGCCUUAGGGUUGUAAAGCUCUUUUCCCCGGGACGAUAAUGACGGUACCGGAGGAAUAAGCCCCGGCUAACUUCGUG